CCGAGAUGAAGAGGCAUAGAAGGAUAGGCUGUAGAGAGAAUAAUAUGAUGAUCCUCCAAGCACUCAGCUUCAGCAAUUAUCAACCAAUGCUCAUAUUUACAGAAGAUAACCACCCUU